CCCCGCUUCUGAAAUGACUAUAAAAGCUUCCCCCCUGUGACUCACACUUUGAGAUCUCCCCACGGACAGAAGACAGAUCCAUUGGCCAGACGCCACGCCACGAGGACGCCUCUGCCGUUGUCCUGAAGACUUCACAACCGCGCUGCUGAAUCAACGGAGUUAUCUUGACGACGAUCGUGAGUCACGGGGUGGUGUGAGAGUCGGGACCCGAGGGUCCCUGGUUUUGCCUCACAACCUUUGUCAAGGUCCUCUGUCAAGGAAGGGACUGUGUGCAAGGGGCUCGGGCCUAACCCACGGUGUGUGUGUGUACCAAGCACUGAACUGCAGGUGUGACUACUGGACCGGAGCUGGCUCCCAUGGGAACUUGUACGAAGACAAUGGACGGCUGGACAGCCUGUGCUUACCUGCAACCAGGCCCAGACCUGCUUGUCCCAGACCUGCUCGAUCUAAACGGUUGCACCUGGUUCCCAGAGCAACGGGGCUCCUCACAAUGACUUUCGGGUGCUCCCUCCCGCUUCUGCCCACCUUGGCCAGGUGCCCCCCCCCCCGCUUUACCUGUGUUGGCCAGGUGCCCCCCGCUUCUGAAAUGACUAUAAAAGCUUCCCCCCUGUGACUCACACUUUGAGAUCUCCCCACGGACAGAAGACAGAUCCAUUGGCCAGACGCCACGCCACGAGGACGCCUCUGCCGUUGGUAGCUAUGUCCCCCUGCCCCCCCUUUCUCGUUCUGUAUCCUAUUUUUCCUUUCUUAUUCCCUCUAUCGCAAGUGUUGUUGGCACUCAAUAAAGGUGCAUUUGUUGUAUGAUUAAA